CACGAACCGUACGAACGUUAUUCGGAAUUACUGGGCUUAAAGGGUUUGUAGGCGGCCAUGUAAGUCGGGUGUGAAAUCCCUCGGCUCAACCGAGGAAUGGCGCCCGAUACUGCAUGGCUUGAGGGAGACAGGGGUAAGCGGAACUGAUGGUGGAGCGGUGAAAUGCGUUGAUAUCGUCAGGAACACCGGUGGCGAAAGCGGCUUACUGGGUCUCAUCUGACGCUGAGGAACGAAAGCUAGGGGAGCGAACGGG
rnacentral:rRNA from 1 species